rnacentral:tRNA from 1 species
GCCAGCUUGGCAUAGUGGUUUGAGCAUUGAACUGUGACUCUGGAGACCAGGGUUCAAAUCCCUGCUUGGCC